CACAUUUAUUGAAGCGGAGUGGAGUGGAGCGUUAUAUUUGUCAGGUUCGAAGGCAUUUUAAUUGGUUUCAAGCAGAGCUCCCGUGAGCAGAGCUCAGAGCGUCGUCACACGGGGCGUAUGGAUAAUACUCGUAAAUGGCCCCUUGCAUCUCCCCCCGCAUAACACCAAUGGAUUUCAGGUAGCAGAAACCCAAAAACUGAGUCAGUUUUUGAUUGAUCUAUUCGAUGUUUUUUUUUGUUUUUAUCUCUUUUGGUGACUCUGAUUGGGGGCUCAGAUUUGUAUCGAUCUGGCUGACGAUUUCAGACAUCAUCUUCGGACUUUAUGGCCCCAUAUGUAAAUCACUUUGGGACCAAAGAAAUUGGCAAAUUUGCGUUAUCCAAAGUGAAAGGAGUAGAUCUCCACAGAAGCGUUUUGAGUGGAGAGCCCAACCAACCCCUACGUUUUGGAAACCGGCUACCAGUUCCGCUACCGCUACCCGAUGCAAAUCCCCGAAACAUUCGCUGCGUCUGCAACAAAAGCAACGCCAAAUCAAAGUCAAAGCAAAAUAAAUCAAUCGAAACAAAAAGUAAAUAUCCUGUUAUUCAGCAUGGGCUGCUCUUAUUCUGUCCCACUCAUUCGCACUGGCCAUUUCCAUUCCCAUUCAUUGAUGGAGCAGCAGCCAGGCAGGCGAAGCCAAAUGAUGGACAGGGAGAGGAGGAAUCCAAAGAAGAAGCAGGCAGAAGGAAGCACAGGCAGAAGCAGAAGCAGAAACAGAAGCAAUGCAAAGAGUAAAUAAACACAAGAUAAUA